GCAGAUCCAUCUCCUAUUCGUAUAUCCCUCAAAAGUUGUCUUUUCCUUGAUACCAAUCGCACCCAGUUUAUAUCUCACGUUUUCGAAGAAAAGGGAAUAGAAAACAGAUGGGUGGUGAAGGGAAAGUUUUCACCUUGGCUCAGGUGUCUGAGCACAACAAUCCCAAGGACUGUUGGUUGAUUAUCGACGGCAAGGUUUACGAUGUGACAAAGUUUUUGGAAGACCAUCCUGGUGGUGAUGAGGUCUUGUUGUCUGCCACAGGGAAAGAUGCAACUGAUGAUUUCGAGGAUGUGGGCCACAGCACAAGUGCUAGAGAAAUGAUGGAUCAAUACUAUGUUGGAGAGAUUGACUCUUCAACCAUCCCUAAGAAGGCUGCAUAUAAACCUCCAAAUCAGCCUCACUACAACCAGGAUAAGACCUCUGAGUUCAUUAUCAA
rnacentral:misc_RNA from 1 species